CGCUUGCCUCAGUUGUAUGCCAGCAUCCACCGGCGAAGGCGGUCUGUUUUAUCGACGUCUAUCAGGAGUUAAUGCUGCAUAAAAUCCAAGUUUAUUCCCGACUGUGAUUUCUCCGGGAUAAAUUGGAUGAUACAUACGGCGCUCGUUCUCAGUGUCACGUCAGAUCCGGGACGAACUGGAAAACAUCAAAACCGUUUUAGUUUUAUUAUAUUGCUUUUUAUAUAACAACAGUUUGACUGAUAUCUACCGGAGCAAGAAUCAAAGUCAAUGGUACGCUUGAAAGGAUAGACGAUCCCAAUGGGAUUAUUGAGGAUUUAAACGCGACUCCGGAUCAAAAGAGCGCUUGCUAUAAAAAGGACAGAGUGCGCUCUGUAUGGUACAUACAAACACGGUUGGUUUCUGGCAUUUAGUUAGUUAAGAGUCGUCGUGGAAACUACGAGCCACGCCGACUUCGUCUAAAGAAACAGUAGAGUAAACUGGAACCUUUGAGGAUGAUCGCUUACCAACAGCUUGCAAUGGAAUGUGAUUAACCAUUUAUAUGUCAUUCAUUUAAAACGGAUUUGACUUGAAACCAAUUGUGAUUCAAAGAUUGGGGCCAUAUUAAUAAUCAGUUUUUUUCACCGGAUUUGUGUUGGUGGUCUGAUAUAGCAAUCAAGCUUCAACAGGAUAAUAGGCCUGUCUUGAACUAUGCAAUAUUAUGAUCGGAAAUCCUCGGCUGUGGGCGUUCUUUGCCAUGCUAUCACUCAUUCCGACGACAUUCGGUUUUCGCUGUAAAUGGUCGAAUGAAGGAUGCCAGUCAGGAGAGGAGUGCUGUAGCGGAAGUUGUGUACAAUCUCAUCCGGGCACUAACCCUCGAUGUACGAAGUGUCCGAUGCACGGAGAAUGUCUGUACAGUUAUCAUUGCGAGAGCCGACUUAUCUGUGGCUCAAAGCGCCGAUGUUGCGCCGACUACUGGGAAACGUGCGCUUUAAGUAGUGAUUGUUGCAACCCUAAGCAAAGGUGCAUAACUGUGCGAGGUUUCGUUUACCGGAAGUGUUUGUUUGGACCGGUGAGAUAUCCGGGAAGCUCUGCACGUGGCUCGCGGUAUCGGAAGACUUUCGUUUUUGUCCCCGUUUCGUUGAUUCUGCUUUUAGCCUUUUUAUAUUUUUAAACUUUUGCCUUGAAACCAUUAUCAUUACAUAACCUUUUAUAUGAAAUAAAAUUCCUCUUUCGUAUGCAUUAUUAUUAUUUUUUUAUUAGGUCGGAUUGAAUCUUGCUUUGAUUGUUAAUUUCCAUUCCAUCAUGUUUUCAAGAGAUAAUAUAUAUGUGCACGCCCGCUACUUUUUCUAUUUAAUUAUGCAUUAAGCAAUUUAACAUACGAUAUACUUAUUUUAACGUUUAUCCGACCAAAUAUGGAAACAAUUGUAGAAGUUAUUUCAUCGGAGAGCAAAACUAACAUUUCAAAUUUAGCAAUGUAUAUUUAUAAAGCAAAUGAAAUUAGAAAUGGAGUAUUAUUGAAUUUGAAUUACAUAAAAAUAUGUCAAUUCAAUGGUUCUGUGUUAAAGAAACACGACAUUCAAAUUUUGCGCUAAUCACUGAGUAAGCUAAUCACUGAGUAAGCUAAUCACCUUUUGAACAACCGGGCCCUGGUGUCUAACUUACUU